rnacentral:tRNA from 1 species
UCCCUGGUGGCCUAGUGGUUAAGGAUCUGGCAUUGUCACUGCUGUGGCACAGGUUCGAUUCGUGGCCUGGGAA